ACUACGGGAGGCAGCAGUAGGGAAUCUUCCACAAUGGGCGAAAGCCUGAUGGAGCAACGCCGCGUGGGUGAAGAAGGUCUUCGGAUCGUAAAACCCUGUUGUUAGAGAAGAAAGUGCGUGAGAGUAACUGUUCACGUUUCGACGGUAUCUAACCAGAAAGCCACGGCUAACUACGUGCCAGCAGCCGCGGUAAUACGUAGGGGGCAAGCGUGAUCCGGAUGUAUUGGGCGUAAAGGGAACGCAGGCGGUCUUUUAAGUCUGAUGUGAAAGCCUUGGGCUUAACCGGAGUAGUGCAUUGGAGACUGGGAGACUUGAGUGCAGGAGAGGGGCGUGGAACUCCAUGUGUAGCGGUGAAAUGCGUAGAUAUAUGGAAGAACACCAGUGGCGAACGCGGCUCUCUGGUCUGUAACUGACGCUGAGGUUCGAAAGCGUGGGUAGCAAACAGGAUUAGAUACCCUGGUAGUC
rnacentral:rRNA from 1 species